UACGAAGGGGGGCUAGCGUUGCUCGGAAUCACUGGGCGUAAAGGGUGCGUAGGCGGGUCUUUUAAGUCAGGGGGUGAAAUCCUGGAGCUCAACUCCAGAACUGCCUUUGAUACUGAAGAUCUUGAGUUCGGGAGAGGUGAGUGGAACUGCGAGUGUAGAGGUGAAAUUCGUAGAUAUUCGCAAGAACACCAGUGGCGAAGGCGGCUCACUGGCCCGAUACUGACGCUGAGGCACGAAAGCGUGGGGGAGCAAACAGG
rnacentral:rRNA from 1 species